GUCGCCUCCGCUGCUGCCGCCACCCGCCUGGCCUGCCUUUGACCCCAUGGGUCACAGACAAGGCAGGGUGAUCGCGGCAAGACCCUGAGUGAGACUAGAGGCGUUACCCAGAGGGUGCGAGGUCGAGCACCCUCCCUGUCCCAUCGCAAACCCAAAGAUCCCCGUUCCUGGAGAUUCUGAUUGAGGUCCCAGCCCUACCUGUCCUGAUGCCUGACCAGCAGGAUGCAAGCCCAGGAGGCCAUCCAGGAUACCAGGACUGGGAGAGAAUGCCCAGUGGUGAUUCCUGCAUAGUCCUAGGAGGUGUCUUGGGCCCAGGCUCUGGAGUUGGAGGCUCAGUUUCAGGGAUGGGAUCUUACUAUGUUGCCUAGGCUGUUCUUGAACUCCUGGGCUCAAGCAGAUGAUCCUCUUGCCUUGACCUCCCAAAGUGCUGGGACUUACAGCUGCGGCUUUAGGAAGGAAUCUGCGUUUAUGAAGGGGAUGGCACCGCAGAAUCAUUCCCCCGUGGGUGGCAUCGAUUUCGAGGGCCGCCUCAUCCUGGGGGCCAAGCCUCCACUCUUCAAGGUGCCAAGUCAACCUGAAACCCUGGGAGAGACUUGGGUCAUAGCCAAGAUGGCAGGUACCUACAGAGGGUCCCGAAAUACACUUCCCAGAAGUCCAGGCGGCAACUUCCGCUCCAGGGUGCCAAGCCCUGGGCGCUCCCGCAAGGACUGCCCGGAUUCGUCCCCCGCGCUUCCGGUCUCACUGGGGAGCCGGAAUCCCCGAGUCUGCAGCCACCGCCCCCGUCCACACGCUAGCCCUCCCGGUUAAGAGGACCCCGCCCUCACCUCUGCGCUCAGCGGGCCGCUCCGCGCUCCUGAGCACGCGCAGUCUUCGACUUCCCCCUCCCGCUGGACUACGUCUCCCAGGAUGCUCCGCGCACCAGCUCGAGCGCCUCCUCGCCCUUCCCCCACCCUCGCCCCCGUUUCUACACCCUCUCCUCCCUUCCCCUAGCGGUGGUCGCAAUGAUCAGGUCAUACUCCUGGCCGCUUCUUCCCAUGCUCCCCGCCUCGAAUCCGUGCGUCGGCAUGCGCAAGCCUCUCGGGUACAACAGACGGCAGCACCGCCUACCAGAUCGCGCAUGCCCCCCACCACGUUUUCCUCAAUUCUCUACGGGCCUUCCUGAGAUUAGCAGGAUCCUGCACCAAUCACGGCCGUCAUUAUAACUCCAUCGGUGCCCCACCGCGUCUCCAUGGCAACUCCCUACAGGAAAGGGCCUCUGCUACUUCCUAGACCGCAAAAUGGAGAAAGGCUUGGCCCGAUGCUUUCCGGCAGAUGUAGUCAGCAGGCCCUUCGUGUGUAAGUGCGCGCGCGGCGCGAUGACGUUCCUCUGUGAUCAUGGGCGAGGGGCGGGCCCUGAACGUCUCCAUGGUAACCUGGGGACACGACUCGACAUCGCCUGGGUAACCCGGAGACGCGGCGGGCGUUGAAAAUGCAAUGGGGCAUGUGGGAUGAGGAGGUGGGGAAGGGUACUGGCGCAGAGAGAGGCCGAUCGAUAGAAACAGCGAGGAGAGACGGAGAGAGACCAGAGAAUCAAGGGCAAAGAGAGACGAAGGACGGGCGGGAGGAAGAGAGAGAGAGACAGAGAGACAGACUCACAGACUGGGAGGACCGGAGACUCGACGCGAGGAGAGACAGUGAAAAUAAGUGAACAAACAUAGAGACACGGGUCCAAGUUAUAAGAGGGCUGAGUGGAUCAGAGGGUCAGGGCCGGGCAAACAGGUGUCAGAACAGUUAGCAAGAGAGAGGCAGAUCAGAAAGGGAUGCAGAUGAAAGAGGCACAAAGAAGGAAACGCAGAAUGGGUUCACAGAGACAAGAAAUGCAGAUAUCCAGACUCAAGAGGUAGACAAGAAGGGAGAGGGACAGAAACAAGAAGGGAGAAAAGGGACAGAAAUUAGAGAUACAGUAAGAUGGAUUGACAGUUUUCAAAGACCUAGAGAAAGAUGAGAGCACGAAGAGAGACAGGGAGAAUCCGAGGUAAAACUGUUAGGAAAACUUAGGAGUCCAGAUGCUGUCCAGUUAUAUGCUACCUUGUACAGGUUGAUAGGUUGCAAAUGCUUUCUGUCCAGUGUAUCGCUUUGUAGCUCACUAAGCAGUUUUGUAUCCAACUUUGUGCUUUUAUUUCAGUGUUUUUCUUUUUCUUUCUUUUUUUUUUUUUGACGGAGUCUCGCUGUUGCCAGACUGGAGUGCAGUGGCACGAUCUCGGCUCACUGCAACCUCCGUCUCCCAGGUUCAAGCGAUUCUCCUGCCUCAGCCUCCCGAGUAGCUGGGACUGCAGGCUGCUCCACCACACCCGGCUGAUUUUUGUAUUUUUAGUAGAGAUGGGGUUUUACCAUGUUGGCCAGACUGGUCUUGACCUCCAGACCUCUGGUGAUCCGCCCACCUCGGCCUCCCAAAUUGCUGGAAUUACAGGUGUGAGCCACCGCGGCCGGCCAGUGUUUAUUCUUCCUUUCCUGUCUUCCUAGAAUCAUCUUGCUGCUUCCCUCAGUACGGUAAAUAAAUCUUUGACACAUGCUCA
rnacentral:antisense_RNA from 1 species